CCAGUGGCACUGUCAUGAAUUCAGGCCACCAUCAAAUCCCCAACGGUCGUAAAAGUUGAUCCGGACGUCGAAUGCGCUACGGCUGACUGGCUGGCCAUGCUCGUCAUCAUCAUCUCUUUUGGCAUCUUUUGAUGACCUGCGAAAUGACCGGCCCCAUUAUUGCUUCACCAAUCCAUCGCUGGCCGUGUUAUCGGAUUCUCCUUUGCAUCCGCUCGUUCUAAACGGCCGUUUGACAGCCCCGGAGACCCACCAGCACGAAUACCUACACCCAAAAAAGCGGAGUCUGCGCCGUGGCGGGCAGUGGAACUCCUGGGGCAAGCACAGGACAGGACCCUUGUGACGUAAGCAGCCAGCCAGCUGAUGACAGACGACGGUUACACGGAUAGAGGGUCCUGUCAGAUUGGGGCGCGUGCGCCUUUUUACGCGGAUCCACCUGCCGGUCGGUUGCGGAACUCGGUUUUGACAGUCCGGACAGGGACUGGCCGUGCCCUGAGACGUGAAUGCUGUGUCAAUUGACUCGUUGCCUUCUCCCGGAGUAGAGCGUUUCGUUCGCGUUUCAGACGGGGUUCAGCCAAAGCUACCUGACCGAAAAGGGAGGAGAUUGAUUGCUGACCUGUGCGAAUUUGGUUUUUGCCGUGGCAUACGAUAGGUACGUCGUCGGUUUAGUGUACGGUUUCCUGAAGACGCGAGUUUCGUGACCCUGAGGGAACCUGCGACCACGUUUCGUAGCGUGUUUCUAGGUGUCCUGUCGCAGUGUUUCGCUUUUUUUUCUUUCGUUUUGCCUUCGAACAGAACCACCACCCAUUCCAGCUGAAAACGGAACGGAAGGCCAACCAACCAACCAGUCAGUGAGUGUGUGGGAACCAGUGUCAAGGAAAAUUCCAGCAGAGUAAAGGGAUAAUACAGUGCCAAGGCAGGGGGAAGGAGUGUGGGGUGCGACGUGUGGAAUAGGGCGGGAGUGCACUUCAAUGCUGCAGUGUGAAUAGUGGGCAAACGAGCGCAAGUAGGGUUUGAGCUUGCAGUCGUCCUCGUCAUCCAGAGUCAGUGUCGUCGUUUCCCACCCUUCACAAAAAAAAAUCAGAAAUAUUUCUCCUGCAGAGGCAAAAUAGUGAGCCUAAUAAGUAGUGUGUUCGCGGCGCGGGGUGGUGGUCUCUCCAGUUCAGCAAAUGCGGAAGCAGGCGGCUGUGAAGAAAAAGUGACGUGAUUUUUCGCCACCACUGCCACCAGCCAGCAGUAGCCACGGAAAAGUACGGGGAAAAUUCGCGCGUGUGUGUUUGUAGUAGUGGUGGUGUAGGGUUGUAGCGAAGUAGGCCUAACCUUCUCGGCAUUCGGAAUUGGGUUUGUGCGGAUAGGCGCACCACGGUCGGUGGGGCACUGGGAAAAUCGAAAAAAGAUUGUCCUGUGGAAGGAGGAAAUUCGGCACGAGCGGACCUGAACUGCGACGGAGCCUGAGGAGCCAAAUCCGAGCUGUGAGCACAGAAUCAACCUCCUAGCGCAGCGGUGUAAAAGUAUUGUGUGUAGAAGAAUAAAAGUGCGAAUCGAAGUUUCCGUCGUCGUCGUCGCCGCCCCCAUCCUUUAGUUGUAAUUUAGAAAGUUCCGUAGAAAAAAGUGCUCAACUCGUGUCUCGCGGGGGUUCGACGCCUCUAUCGUCGUCAUGGCUUGGGGUUACUGGAGUGCGACGGCCGUCGACCGGGGUCGAUCCCCGCGGCGAAACACCCAACAACAGCAGCAACAGCAGCAGUAUCCAUACCAGAACCAGAACUACCAGCAGUACAGUUUGGCCCAAUCGCAGCACCAGCAGUCGACGCAGUGCCUCAACAGUUGCCCACAGGCGGCGGCGGUGGUGGAACCUGCGCCUCAACCGGUUCAACCGGUACAACAACAACCGGCUCCACAACAGCAGGUCCAGCAGCAGCAGCAAGUUUGCGGCAGUCCGUGUCACAGUCCCUGUCACAGUCCCCAGUUCAUCGAACAGCUUCCGCCGGAUCUGCCCUGCACUCCGGUUUGCACCUACUCACGUCGACAGUCACUUGAUAGUCCACAGGCCAACCAACUGACGGACAUCAUCUGCCGGGCGGCCCAGCCUUCAAUCCAAUCGGCCGGCAAUACCCUCACGAGGGGCACCUCCCUGCGGGACACCGGGGACUACGCGGUGCCCCAUCCGCAUCCGCAUACGCACCACUACAUGACCACGUCGGAUACGCCGCGGACUCUCAGCCGGGUGGGAUCCUGUCCGGGUUCGACGGGUGGUUCCGGAUCGGCUCACGGGUCCGGUUCGGGGUCCAGUCCGGGUGCCGGGCCUGGGAGCGGCGGAGGAGGUGGCGGUGGAGGACGGGAAUCGAUCAUCGGCAGCAGUAUGGGGAUCUGUGGGAUGGGUAUAUUGGGGGGUAGUCAAGGGGCGGGGCUGGAGUACGUGGAGUGUUCACAUUACGACCGGAUGCCGCUGCCGAUUCCGGUGAAGAUACCGGUGGUGCCACCGCCGCAGAUGCACUCGGAAGAUGAGAUCGAGCCGGCCUACGCUACAGUAUUUCCAAAUGUCCCGACGGCUCCGGGAAUGUCCUGCAUCGGCGAGGACCGAAGCAUCUACCGAAGAGGUGCCAGGAGAUGGCGAAAGCUCUACAGGAUAAAUGGACACAUAUUCCAGGCGAAACGAUUCAAUCGAAAAGCCUUCUGUGCGUUCUGCCACGACCGCAUCUGGGGCCUCGGGCGGCAGGGCUUCAAGUGCAUCCAGUGCAAGCUGCUGGUGCACAAAAAGUGCCACAAGCUUGGCAACAAACCGUGCAGCAACGAACACGUGGAACCGGUCUACAAGGAGCGUGAUCACCAAGAUCUGAACGACGAGUCGAGCACCGGCGAUGUGAUUCAACCCCCGCAGGAUUAUCCGUCCGAGUAUAUCCAUUCGGAUCCGUCGUGCGACCAGGUCCCGGUCGAGGCGUCCGACAACGUAGAGGAACCGCUGGAACCGGGCACCCAGCGGCAGUAUUCCCUGAACGACUUCGAGCUGAUCAGGGUCAUCGGUCGCGGUAGCUACGCCAAGGUCCUCAUGGUCGAGCUGAAGAAGACCCGACGGAUCUACGCGAUGAAGGUCAUUAAGAAGGCCCUGGUGACGGAUGACGAGGACAUCGACUGGGUCCAGACGGAGAAGCACGUCUUCGAGACGGCCUCCAACCACCCGUUCCUGGUCGGGUUGCACUCGUGCUUCCAGACACCCUCUAGACUGUUCUUCGUGAUCGAGUUCGUCCGCGGUGGGGAUCUGAUGUUCCACAUGCAGCGGCAGCGACGUCUUCCGGAGGAGCACGCCCGGUUCUACGCGGCCGAGAUCAGCCUGGCGUUGAACUUCCUGCACGAGAAGGGCAUCAUCUAUCGGGAUCUGAAGCUGGACAACGUGCUGCUGGAUCACGAGGGCCACAUCAAGCUGACCGAUUACGGCAUGUGCAAGGAGGGCAUCCGUCCGGGCGAUACGACGUCGACGUUCUGCGGCACGCCGAAUUAUAUCGCGCCGGAGAUCUUGCGCGGGGAAGACUACGGAUUCUCCGUGGAUUGGUGGGCUCUGGGAGUCUUGCUGUAUGAAAUGUUGGCCGGACGUAGUCCGUUCGACAUUGCCGGUGCUUCCGAAAAUCCAGAUCAGAACACCGAGGACUACCUGUUCCAAGUGAUCCUGGAAAAGACGAUCCGUAUCCCGCGGUCCCUCAGUGUCAAGGCCGCCUCGGUGCUCAAAGGUUUCCUCAACAAGAAUCCGGCGGAUCGUCUCGGCUGUAACCGGAAUGCGGCCUUCAUGGACAUCGUCAACCAUCCGUUCUUCAAGAGCAUCGACUGGGAAGCGCUCGCGCAAAAAGAGGUCACCCCGCCGUACAUUCCGUCGUUCGAUGGGUGCGAUCAGGACAUUACCUGUCACUUUGAUCCGCAGUUCACGCGGGAACCGGCCGAACUGACCCCGGACGAUCCCCGCGUAAUCGACAAGAUUGACCAGAGCGAAUUCGAGGGCUUCGAGUACGUGAACCCGCUGCUAAUGUCGCUGGAAGACUGCGUUUGACAUCACGCAUCCUGCGAGCUGCAUCCGUACAACAUGCAGUUUUGAAAGACACACAGUUCGUUUUUCCACUACCGAGCGACAAGUGUUACCGUUUACUACCACUACCACAACCACUACUACUACUACAACUACUACAGUUAGAACAGCUAGAACCCUUCCUCCCAAGAAAUCGAUGCGCCACAGAGGACAAGAACGCAAACGAAGCCUGAACCCCCUGGUUAUUACCGCGACGACAUAACUAAGUCCUGAUUCCCGUGUUUUAGUUGUAAACCUGAUGCGUGUGAAUAUUUUGAGUUUUAUUUGGAUGCUCGUGUAGCCAAUCAGAACAUAAUUUUCGAAUGACUUCAUCGUUUUUUUCUUUUCUGUUUUGGUACUGAGAGAAAUUUACGGUGACGAUUCGAGCGAUUACGAUUCCGUUGUGGAUGAACUAAGUAUUCUUCAAUUACCUCCGCCGCCUCAGAAGAGUCUCCUGCAGCACAUGUUUUGCCUUCCAUUGAACUAACACCAUGGCCCUUCGUUUCCUUCGUUAUUUCUUUAAUUUUCUUCUUCUCCUGAAUCGUCGUCUAACUGAACUUGCACGCUCCGACGAUCGUGACACCAAUAUAUUCAUUAUUGCUAGGAAAUGUAAAUGGAUUGGAUACUCUUACACUGAAACAAAUCACAACGGUUAGUCCAACCGAAAAGAAAAGAAAAACGCUACAAAUUUUAGGUUCGUCUAGUGGCAGAUCGGCGAACAUCGAGCGAAGCCUAGGAACUUUUACAUCUAAGCCCAAAAACUAAAAUGAAAUUUAUUCACAAAUUCCAGUAGCUAUCAUUGGUAAGAUAACUAAAGCAACCGAUUUACGAGAUCAACUGCGAGACAAAAUGAAACUAGCGCAACUAUUACAAGACGAUAUUUGUCUGUACACUGAAAUUUCCGUAUCAAAAAAGUGGAUCGACGAAGGUUAAACAAUUGUUAAUAUGAUACUUAACACGUAUAGAAAACCAAGCAGAUGACAAGCCUCAAAAAUUUGCGGGGAAAAUGGAUUACAAUUACUAUUCAACAACUAUUCGUUUAUGGGAAACAGUUCCAUAGGAAAAAAACUGAAACAAAAGUAGAUUACACUGCACAGCGUUAACAAACAGAAAAGACAAAACUAAUUGCAUAUUGUAUAGGUGAAAAAAAAAACAAAAUGAAGUUUAGCUAACAAAAAGAAAAUAUUCAAGCGCAAAAAGAUUAAGAAAAUUGAAAGGAUUUUAAACUUUUAAAAAAUCAAACACUGAAACAAAAGACAGAGAGUAACAAAAUUGAUUUAUCGAAUAGUAUUAAUUAAAUUGAAAUUGCGAAAGGGGAACCGAAAUCCUAACGUAGUGAACCGUGUUAGAUAAAUCAUUCAAAUUAUCCAAAACAAAAAAGGAAAAGGGAAAAAGACCGUCAGAAAGACAUUUUUAUAAGACAUUUGAUUCCAUAACCUUAACAAAAACCAAAACCGAAAACUGGCGAGACCCACUAUCUAGCUAUCUAUCCAAUCGCAAAAAAAAACAAAACUAUUCCUAAAGUAACGUAUGAAAAACGUGUAAAACUUCGCCCCAUUCCAUUCAUGAUGAUCAAUGAUGAUGAUCAACUCUUUUUCAAACAUAACCUUGAAGAAAACACCUGUUACCUGUUAGUAGUACUUUGUUUAGUCAUCUGUGAAUAUAUUUUUCCCUCAAAUCUAAAAAAAAAGUAAUGAAGAUGGAGCAUUCCACAGACAGAGAUAUAAGGAGAGAGACAGAGAGCGUGGGGUAAAGCGACAAGUCCAAUCUGCAACGCGCCGGAAUCCCGUGUGGUGGUAUCGAAUCGAAUUAUUUAGGUUAGGAUCAAUUCUCGUUUUCAUGAGCGCAUUUCAGUCAGUCAGUGUACUUACAGGCAGCCAACCGAUCUAACAAAGCAGCAACUGCGGCGCAUUCAUAUUAGUUAGUGUUAGUGGAUUAGAAAUUCAUGGAUUACGACGUGUAGCGUUUUCGAGAACCCUGGUGAAGUUCGACAAAGGGGGUUCCGAUCAAAACGUUGAUGCACGUUGCAAUCCAAGCUGCUACUUAAUAUUGUAUUUAUUUAUGUCUUAGUUUUCGUUUCCAUUUCUGUUAUAAUCGUUUUGACUCAGUUGUGUACUUACUUUUCAACUUACUUAGGAAACUGUAUUAGUCGAGUAUUGUCGAGCGUUUUUUUUUUGUUUGAUUAAGUUUCAUAUGAACCGAUUCCAUUCGCGAUCGCCCCCUAUAAGUAUUAUCAGUAUUUUUCCGCGCGCUCUAGCACACUCUUUCUUCCAUCAUGUUACAUUUAAAAAUGACAAGCAGAAGAGGAAAAAACAAACAAUUAUUAUGAGACAUUAUUACAGUGAAUGCAAAUAAAUGCUGAAAUUGAAUAUUUCGAAUAAAAAUUGAA